rnacentral:antisense_RNA from 1 species
GCCGGCACGACAUUGCUCACAUUGCUUCCAAUCUUUGUUGCCAGCCUCGUGCUGGCAUUUUUUU